CCUACGGGAGGCUGCAGUGGGGAAUAUUGGACAAUGGGGGGAACCCUGAUCCAGCCAUGCCGCGUGUGUGAAGAAGGCCCUCGGGUUGUAAAGCACUUUCAGUGAGGAAGAACGCCUGGUGGUUAAUACCCAUCAGGAAAGACAUCACUCACAGAAGAAGCACCGGCUAACUCCGUGCCAGCAGCCGCGGUAAUACGGAGGGUGCGAGCGUUAAUCGGAAUUACUGGGCGUAAAGCGCGCGUAGGUGGCUUGAUAAGCCGGUUGUGAAAGCCCCGGGCUCAACCUGGGAACGGCAUCCGGAACUGUCAAGCUAGAGUGCAGGAGAGGAAGGUAGAAUUCCCGGUGUAGCGGUGACAUGCGUAGAGAUCGGGAGGAAUACCAGUGGCGAAGGCGGCCUUCUGGACUGACACUGACACUGAGGUGCGAAAGCGUGGGUAGCAAACAGGAUUAGAUACCCUAGUAGUC
rnacentral:rRNA from 1 species